CCUACGGGUGGCAGCAGUGGGGACUAUUGGGCAAUGGACGCAAGUCUGACCCAGCAACGCCGCGUGAAGGAAGACGGCUUUCGGGUUGUACACUUCUUUUAAGGGGGAAGAGCAGAGGACGGUGCCCCUUGAGUAAGCCACGGCUAACUACGUGCCAGCAGCCGCGGGAAUACGUAGGUGGCAAGAGUUGUCCGGAUUUACUGGGUGUACAGGGCGUGCAGCCGGAGAGACAAGUCCGGUGUGAAAUCUACGGGCUCAACCCUGGAACUGCAUUUGAAACUGUUUCCCUUGAGUGUCGGAGAGGUAGGCGGAAUUCGUGGUGUAGCGGUGAAAUGCGUAGAUAUAAGGAAGAACACCAGUGGCGAAGGCGGAUUACUGGACGAUAACUGACGGUGAGGCGCGAAAGCGUGGGGAGCAAACAGGAUUAGAUACCCGGGUAGUC
rnacentral:rRNA from 1 species